rnacentral:snRNA from 1 species
CUAGCUCUCUGAGCUCUGGUGAAAAGAUUCUCUAAGUUAUAUCUGUUCUUAUCAGUUUAACAUCUGAUAUAUUCUUGAUGUGAGAACUUUUGGAACAGGGAGAUGGAAUAGGAGCUUGCUCCUUCUACUCCAUGCAUUAGCCUGGUAUUGCAGUACUUCCAGGUGUGGUGCGCCUCCC